AGAGUUUGAUCAUGGCUCAGAAUCAACGCUGGCGGCGUGCCUCAGACAUGCAAGUCGAACGAUUAAGACUCUCUUCGGAGAGUGUAUAAAGUGGCGCACGGGUGAGUAACACGUAGGUAAUGUACCGAAGGGUGGGGAAUAACUUAGGGAAACUUAAGCUAAUACCGCAUAAUGCAGCGGCUCGACAUCGAGACAGUUGUUAAAGGAGCAAUCCGCCUUUUGAGCAGCCUGCGGCAGAUUAGCUAGUUGGUAAGGUAAUGGCUUACCAAGGCUACGAUCUGUAACCGACCUGAGAGGGGUGGUCGGUCACACUGACACUGAAUAACGGGUCAGACUCCUACGGGAGGCAGCAGUCGGGAAUUUUGGGCAAUGGGCGAAAGCCUGACCCAGCAACGCCGCGUGAAGGAUGAAGUAUUUCGGUAUGUAAACUUCGUAAGAAUAGGAAGAAUAAAUGACGGUACUAUUUGUAAGGUCCGGCUAACUACGUG
rnacentral:rRNA from 1 species